CCUACGGGGGGCUGCAGUGGGGAAUUUUGGACAAUGGGGGCAACCCUGAUCCAGCCAUGCCGCGUGCGGGAAGAAGGCCUUCGGGUUGUAAACCGCUUUUGUCAGGGAAGAAAUCUUCCGAGCUAAUACCUUGGGAGGAUGACGGUACCUGAAGAAUAAGCACCGGCUAACUACGUGCCAGCAGCCGCGGUAAUACGUAGGGUGCAAACGGGAAGCGGAACGACUGGGCGUAGAGGUGCCGCAGGCGGUUGAAAUCCCCGGGCUUAACCUGGGAACUGCACUUGUGACUGUACGGCUGGAGUACGGCAGAGGGGGAUGGAAUUCCGCGUGUAGCAGUGAAAUGCGUAGAUAUGCGGAGGAACACCGAUGGCGAAGGCAGUCCCCUGGGCCUGUACUGACGCUCAUGCACGAAAGCGUGGGGAGCAAACAGGAUUAGAUACCCGGGUAGUC
rnacentral:rRNA from 1 species